CGCGUAGGCGGUUAUAUAAGUCGGAUGUGAAAUCCCUCGGCUUAACCGAGGAAUUGCUUGACGAACUGUUUAUCUUGAGGCAAGUAGGGGUGCACGGAACUCUUGGUGGAGCGGUGGAAUGCGUAGAUAUCAAGAGGAACGCCAGUGGUGAAGACGGUGCACUGGGCUUGUUCUGACGCUGAGGUACGAAAGCGUGGGGAGCGAACAGGAUUAGAUACCCUGGUAGUC
rnacentral:rRNA from 1 species